GACGAACGCUGGCGGCGCGCUUAACACAUGCAAGUCGAACGGAAAGGCCUGCUUUCCCUUGUGGAUUGCGGGUACUCGAGUGGCGAACGGGUGAGUAACACGUGAGUGAUCUGCCCCCAACUUGGGUAUAAGCCUGGGAAACUGGGUCUAAUUCCCGAUAGGACUGCAGGGUGGUGCCUGUGGUGGAAAACGAUUUUCUAGUGGUUGGGGAUGAGCUCGCGGCCUAUCAGCUUGUUGGUGGGGUAAUGGCCUACCAAGGCGGCGACGGGUAGCCGGCCUGAGAGGGUGGACGGCCACAUUGGGACUGAGAUACGGCCCAGACUCCUACGGGAGGCAGCAGUGGGGAAUAUUGCACAAUGGGCGGAAGCCUGAUGCAGCGACGCCGCGUGGGGGAUGACGGCCUUCGGGUUGUAACUCCUUUCGACCGCGAGGAAGCCACCUGGUUGGAAGGGUGGUGACGGUAGUGGUAGAAGAAGCACCGGCUAACUACGUG
rnacentral:rRNA from 1 species